GGGCCGGUAGAUCAACGGUAGAUCGUUCGCUUGGCGUGCGGAAGGCUGCGGGUUCAAAUCCCGUCCGGUCCA
rnacentral:tRNA from 1 species